rnacentral:tRNA from 1 species
GGAGGGUUGGCUGAGUGGUUAAAAGCGAGAGAUUGCUAAUCUCUUGAGUCUGAAUAAGGCUCGCACUGGUUCAAAUCCUGUACCCUCCG